rnacentral:lncRNA from 1 species
AAACUCAGUGGUUUUUCAAAGGGAAUUUGUGCUAUAGUCUAUGGCUUUAAAAAAAUACUGCAAAAUUUAUGUUUAAAUGGUAGAAUAUUUUGUUCAACACACUUUAUAAUUGUUUGAAGAUUAGGGUGUCUGAACAUUAAUGGCUUCUUACUAAAUCUCAUGACAUUUAACCAGUUUUAAGGUUUUUAAAUCAAUUCCUUUUCAGUGAACAUUGUUUUUUGAGUCUCAAGUUUCUUCUAAGGCAAAGUUGUGAAAAAUUUGUAAAUGAGAAAUUUUUAUGUGUGAGAUCCUCAAAUACAGACAUAACCCUUUCUAGCUUUAGAUUAUAGCCACCCUUGGUGCAACUUAAUGCCUCCCUCUCAUUUCAAUGAACAGAAAGAAUAUUCCCCUUAAUUGGUGUUAGUGCUUAGUUAGUGCUCCAUCAUUCAGCUUCGGUUACCAACUUAAUCUUUCUUGUUCUUCUGUUUACUUACUGCCCAUAUUAGCACAAAUCCCAGACAUAUUAUAUCAUCAGACUUUCUGGGAUAUUUUCCAUGUCAUGUUUUACUCCUGCUCAUAGUUGCAAUUGUAUAAGAAUAUCAGGGCU